rnacentral:rRNA from 1 species
GACGUAGGGCGCGAGCGUUGUCCGGAUUUAUUGGGCGUAAAGAGCGUGUAGGCGGCUAGGUAGGUGGGUUGUGGAAAACUGGAGGCUCAACCUUCAGACGUCGACCCAAACCCCUAGCUAGAGUCCGGAAGAGGAGAGUGGAAUUCCUGGUGUAGCGGUGAAAUGCGCAGAUAUCAGGAAGAACACCCGUGGCGAAGGCGGCUCUCUGGGACGGUACUGACGCUGAGACGCGAAAGCGUGGGGAGCGAACAGG